UAAUUACUCCCUCCGUCCCAAAAUUCUUGUCUUAGAUUUGUCUAGAUACGGAUGUACCUAAUACUAAAACGUGACUUGAUACAUCCGUAUUUGGACAAAUCUAAGACAAGAAUUUUGGGACGGAGGGAGUAUUUU
rnacentral:pre_miRNA from 1 species